rnacentral:misc_RNA from 1 species
UUAAAAAGUGCCUUGGAAAGAGUCAUAACUUAUGACUCUUACCAAGGCACUUUUUAAGAAUUUAUCGUGGGAAGGAGUGAAGAGAAACGAUAGGAUCUUUAGGUUCUUUUUUAUAUCCAGUCCAAUAAUUGGCACUCACAAAAAAAUGCGGGAAAAGAGAGAGAGCCUUCCAUGUCCCUAGAAUUCCAUGGUUUUGAGUUAAAUUUUUCCUACUAUUAUAUACCAGACUAAAUAUAAUCAACAAUCAUCACUAAACCUCAACGGCUAGCAUAUUUUUGUAUGUUAUAGAAUUAUUUAAUUUUAUAUUAAAUGAAUAAAACUAAACGAAUUAAAAUUAGAUUUUAUCGAUAAAUAGUUAUUAGUUAAAAUACACACAUUGUACUUAUAUUAUUUAUUGCUCAUAUCAUUGAUCGAAAAUUAUUCAUAUAGUGGUGGAUCUUUGAUGCUGAAACUAACAAAGCAAUGACCAAAACAUCAAAUGACGAGAAGACUUCAUUCGGUCCUUGUAACAUGGAUGAACAGCUUCUUAUAUUAUCUAAUUUGACAACCAUAGAAAUAUCAAACCUAUCAGUAGAGGAUAAAAAGAAUGCUCUCCGCACCUUAAAUGUAAUUCACUCUUUCAACUUAAAAGAAGCUCUAAAACGAUCCAAAAGUUUAACACAGAAAGCUCUAGCAGAUUUCAAGUGGCGUGUCAAAUGCAUUCCAUCAAGUGAUAACCUUGAGGAAUCCUUUGUUGAUCUUCAUUUAGUCAUUGAAACACGGGGAUCUCCCCAUCAGACUAAAUUUGUGGCUCAUGAGCUUGAUACUAGUCUAUUAAAUAAGCUCAUCCAAAAGAUGGAAAGAAUUGAGAGUCAAGUAAACUGAAGAAUAUAUUAUGUAUUUAAUAAAGUAUAAGAUUUUGUACUAUAAUAUAGAUUUGAAAAGUUAUUAUUAGAGACCCGGCAUUAUGUAGGCGACAUUGUCCAGAAUCGAGGAUAGUUUAUUUUGUGGUACAGUAUUUAAUUCCGGGACCUGCUGUGUAAGACACAUCAGAGGCCCCAUAGCACAUAUUAAAGAGUCUAAAAGAACAGAUAAGGAUCCUGAGACUGCUAUUUGUCCUUCAUGCUCAGUAAGGCGUUCGCCGAUAAUUGAAAGAGAUUCGCCCAGGAGCUUAAGAUGGGCAGCAGAGUCCAUUGGCUCCGUUCCGACGACCUAAAGAAAUGAAAAUCAUAAUAGAUGACCCACAUCCUAAAAAAGCCGGUAGGAUACUAAUUUCUUACCUUGAAUAACCCUGAAUUUUGAUUGGGGACGCUGGAAACUGGACUUAGUUCCAUUGCUUUGAGUUGUUUUAUUGUUGUUUUCCCAGUCUUAUUUUUGAGGAAAUUAUUGAACCUUAUUGCUCGGUUUUCCCAAACUAGCCUUUCUUUUCGACCGAGACUUGUCCAAGAUUCUUGAAGACGUUGAUUGAGCUUGUAUGAAUAAAUUCGAGGUGAGGAUUUUAGAAUGUUUUCUCUAGCAUCCUUGGCCCAAGAUGUAUAUGCAGAGAUAUCACACAAAUUUCUCCUCUUGGAAAAACUAUUAGUUGAGGUUUGUCUUUUGAUGCUCCUUGUACCUGGCGAAGAGAAAAGAAAAGAAGGGAAAAUAUGUCGCUUAGAUAAUGGCUUCUCUUGCAUUACAUUAGCAAGAGCAUUCUUCCAUUCAUCACACUGUACAAUGCUACAAUAUCAAUGCUAAUGCAAUUCUCUGUAGCGCAUCUCUAGGAAAGAACCUCUUCACAGAAAAAUUCAGAGAGAAGGAACAAGAAAACGGAAAGCCAGUGCUGAUUGUUAAGAAGGGAAUGAGAUCGUGACGUCAGAGAGUCUCAUCUAUACUCUGAGGAUAGGAAUCAUGAGCAGCUCACUCUAGAAGUCUCACAUCAACAAGCGGUAGGGGAGAGAGGGGGAGGAAAUGGAGAUAGCCGAGAGGUAGCAAAAAAGGUCGCUUAUUUCAAUUAACUAAUUAAAUAAUUUCAUGACCAGAAAAAUGAGCAUGUUUACUUGGAAAUAAGUUUAAAUUGCAGAUGCAAGAAAGGGUCAUAAAUGAGUAUGAAUUAAUCUAAUUAGAAGUGAAAUGGGAAAUCCUUGUCAAUUGUCAUAAUUCCUGAAGGCGGAUAGUACCGAGAAUGAGGGUCCUUAGUCCUUACCAUCCUUUCUACUGCUGCUGCUAUGGCGACUUAUUGUAAUUGAAUCAUCCAACAUCAACAUAUCUUCCUCAUCUGGAUCAUAAUCCUCAUUGUCCCAUUCGGCUACAAAAAAUCCCAAAAAAUAAAAAUAUGAAAGAAAUGAAACUACAAUUAAUUUAUUGGAUUGAGUAAUUGACUUGUGUGUAAAUGAAGUUGCGGGUUAAGGAGAGUAUGGAGUGGAUUGGAAGUCAAUUCAAGAGUGAUGUCAAUUUUCAUGAUCAUGUCAUUUUUGAUUUUCAUGACUUCAUGCACCUAAUCAAUAUUCAUGAAUAUUGAUGGAUGAAUCCGAAUAUUACAUGUCAUACUCUCAAGGAGAAGAACUGUGUUUCAAAUUAUUUCAAGUAUGAACAUUAUUCAUAAUAUUUAAUUACCUCCUAGAUGUGGAAUAGCUUCAAAGUCUUCAUCUCUGAUGAUCUCUUCAGAGUCUCGGAAUUCAUCGGACCCACGCUUAAUUUUCUCUGUAUGACGAAUGAUUUGAGGUGGAGGAAUUUCAUCCACAGAUUCAUAAUCUACUAACUUGCUAGAUUUUUUACGAAUCCUUCCUGAGCGCGAAACACCAGGAUCUUCCAUCUUACUCCUAUAUAAAGGCUAUAGCCUAUAAUAUAUUUAUAGCUAUGUGAGAUCUGCUAUUUUUCUUUCUUUUAUUUAGUUUGAAGUAGUGCAUGUGUGACGCAUGAAUAAAUAAUCCAUAGAGGUGAAGCGGUGACAUGACAAGGUAUGAGAAAGACUGUUCAAUGGCUUUCAGCUAUUAAGUUUCGUAUGCAGCUGGGAUAGGAACUUACAACUUCUUUUAGAUUCACAAAACACUUCGACGCAUGUAGGAAAAUCCCUUCAAUAUGAAAAUGCACUUCACAUCAAGGUCUCUGAUAGUGACUUCUAACCUCUUGAAUCAUUGCCUCUAUUCUCAAAAAUACAUAAAUUCCUCUAUAUUUUCUACGGAAUUAUCGUAUACUCCUAAAUAUAAGAAGAAUGAAGUUCAAUAAAACAUCAGAAUUAUCGAUUUUAAGAUCCAGAGAGGAACAGGGAGAGUUCUUAUCCUCCAUCCACUCUUCCUUCAUUGAAGUUCUUGAGCCCUUUUCUCCUUAAGUCAACUAUAAUUUCUCUCCUACUCCAAGAAAACUAUUUCAUUGAUAUGUGUCCUUGAUGUAUAUAACGCAGAAAUAACUCAUCUCAAUCACGUUGAUAUCAAUUCAAUUUAUAUGUUGGAGUUUAGGAUGUAUUGUCUAUAUGGAUAAUUAUUAUCUUUUCUCGAUAGUUUUUUCUGCUAAGCAUAUUACAUUCUGUUAUUGCGCAUAAUUAGUUAUUUUAUUCUGUAUCUAAUCAUCCUAUACUUAUAAGUUAUAUUAUUGAAAAGAAGACUUACACAAAGAAAAAUAUAAUGAAAAAUACUGUGAGGAACCUUGAUAAGAGUAAUUUAAAACUCCUUUAUCCCUAUAACUCACGAAUCACUACUGAAUAGUCUCUAUCACAAAUAUAAAUUCCAUUUAUAAAUUUGAAUUCGUAUUGUAAUACCAAUAUGGAUAAAUAUACAUCUUGAAAACUGCAAGCCUAACUAUCUAUUACUUUGGAAUUUUUAAGACUAUUUUGCCUUUGAAUAACAAGUAGAAGAUUCUUUUAAACUCUGAAAGAAAAUAUGUUCCUCUUUUUCCAUAUUUCGGUCUGCAAUGCAUUAUUUGAUUAUGCUAUUAUAUAUAAAUAGUUAUUGGGAACUGAUAAGGGAUUAUGUGUAUUAAAAAAUAUAACUAAUUUCUGUAGAUUUCUAUUGGAAUAUCUUAAUUUGGUUGCAAUUUCCAAACUUAUUUGAGUCAGGAAUCCUCUUUUCAACAGCUAAAUUGCUUGUUAGCAUAUUGGAAUAUUAAUCUCGCUAAGGUCUAGGAUCUUUACAAAAUAAAUACAUAACUUAAUGUGUGCUAUACCAGCUAAUUAUAAGUUGUUUGAUUGAAAAUAAUAGUUAAAAUGUAACAAAGUAUCAAAUGUACAAAUGUAUCAUACGAUUGUUUGAGUGUGAAUUGAACAAAUAAAAAAAAAUUAAAUCAACUAUGAUAUUUCUCUAAAUUUAAA